UAAAAGCUUUGUUGCCACCCCAGGCUUUUCUGUGAUGAUGCCAUGGGCCACAUUCUGAUCAAACUGCACACCCAGAAGGUGAAGUGUUGGCUCCAAGCGAGAAAAAUUAUUAAGUUUGGCACUUGAAACCCUGGACGAAAAACCACUGGGACAUCUUUCUCCUGGAGACAGAGCAUAUGGGGUAAACGAUAACCUCUGAGGGAAUAAGAAAUGUAUGUUAGAAAAAGCCUUUUCCCUCUCUACUAGCAAUCCUUACUUGCCAAGAGGCUACCUAUCUCCUUCCCUUCUUGCCAUCUGGAGAGGGAAUACAUCUUCUUACAAGCUUGGAACAACACAGUCUGCCCAUAUGGUAUUUUGGAAAAAGAGUGUCUAUACAGGAUUUGGAUAAAUGAAGAUGCAGACACUACAAAAAGAUAAAACGCAAAGUCAUUCAUUUUACAACAAAGAGCACGAUCCUCAUUUCAGUUCACAGAACAUCCA